UGAGGAAUCUUGCGCAAUGGGGGCAACCCUGACGCAGCCACGCCGCGUGCUGGAAGACGGCCCUAUGGGUUGUAAACAGCUUUUGGGCGGGAAGAACCCGGGGGGCUCGCCCCCCGCUGACGGUACCGCUCGAAUAAGCACCGGCUAACUCCGUGCCAGCAGCCGCGGUAAUACGGAGGGUGCAAGCGUUGUCCGGAAUUAUUGGGUGUAAAGGGUGCGCAGGCGGGAACCUGCGUCGGAGGUGAAAGCCGGCCGCUCAACGGCCGCAGUGCCCCCGAUACGGGGUUCCUUGAGUCCGGAAGAGGCCAGCGGAACUGGUGGUGUAGCGGUGAAAUGCACAGAGAUCACCAGGAACACCAGUGGCGAAAGCGGCUGGCUGGUCCGGCACUGACGCUGAGGCGCGAAAGCGUGGGGAGCAAACAGGAUUAGAUACCCGUGUAGUCC
rnacentral:rRNA from 1 species